rnacentral:rRNA from 1 species
UACGUAGGGGGCGAGCGUUGUCCGGAAUUAUUGGGCGUAAAGGGUGCGUAGGCGGCCCUGCAAGUCAGAUGUGAAACCCCUGUGCUUAACAUAGGGCUUGCAUUUGAAACUGUGGGGCUUGAGUAUGGGAGAGGCAAGCGGAAUUCCCGGUGUAGCGGUGAAAUGCGUAGAGAUCGGGAGGAACACCAGUGGCGAAGGCGGCUUGCUGGACCAAAACUGACGCUGAAGCACGAAAGCGUGGGUAGCAAACAGG